AGAGUUUGAUCAUGGCUCAGGAUGAACGCUGGCGGUAUGCUUAACACAUGCAAGUCGAACGGACGCUUCGGCGUUAGUGGCGGACGGGUGAGUAACACGUGAGAACCUACCUUCAGGCCAGGGACAACAACUGGAAACGGUUGCUAAUACCUGAUGUGCCAAAGGGUGAAAGAUUUAUCGCCUGAAGAUGGGCUCGCGACCGAUUAGCAAGUUGGAGUGGUAACGGCACACAAAGGCGACGAUCGGUAGCUGGUCUGAGAGGAUGAUCAGCCACACUAGAACUGAGACACGGUACAGACUCCUACGGGAGGCAGCAGUGGGGGAUUUUCCGCAAGGGGAGCAAGCCGGACGGAGCAAUACCUCGUGAUGGAGGAAGGCUCUUGGGUUGUAAACCUCUUUUGUCAGGGAAGAAGAUCUGACGGUACCUGACGAAUCAGCAUCGGCUAACUCCGUGCCAGCAGCCGCGGUAUUC
rnacentral:rRNA from 1 species